rnacentral:rRNA from 1 species
UUAAGUGGAGAGUUUGAUCCUGGCUCAGAGCGAACGCUAGCGGCGCGCCUAACACAUGCAAGUCGAGCGAGAAAGAGGGGGCAACUCCUUGAGUAAAGCGGCGAACGGGUGAGUAAUGCAUGGGUAAUCUACCUAUAAGACUGGGAUAACCUUCCGAAAGGAGGGCUAAUACCGGAUAAGACCACAUGACUUUUGUUGUGGGGUUAAAGAUGGGGAUUCGCAAGAACCUAUCAUUUAUGGAUGAGCCCAUGUCCCAUCAGCUUGUUGGUAGGGUAAUGGCCUACCAAGGCUAAGACGGGUAGCUGGUCUGAGAGGACGAUCAGCCACACUGGCACUGAAACA